GUAGGUGAACCUGCGGAAGGAUCAUUACCGAUUUUUAGCAGAUCUGAUCUUUGGUCAUGGUCUCGCGAAAAACUUGUAUUUAAAACCCCACUCUUAUAAAUUAAAUCAUUUAUACAAUGUAUAUAAUAAAUAAAGAUCACUUUCAACAACGGAUCUCUUGGCUCUC
rnacentral:misc_RNA from 1 species